rnacentral:rRNA from 1 species
UCAGGAUGAACGCUAGCGGCAGGCUAACACAUGCAAGUCGAGGGGCAUCGGGAGUAGCAAUACUGCCGGCGACCGGCGCAAGGGUGCGUAACGCGUGAGCAACAUGCCCGUAUCAGGGGGAUAAUCCAUGGAAACGUGGUCUAAUACCCCAUAGUAAUUAUGUAAGGCAUCUUAUAUAAUUUAAAGCUUUGGUGGAUACGGAUUGGCUCGCGUGACAUUAGCUAGAUGGUAAGGUAACGGCUUACCAUGGCUACGAUGUCUAGGGGUUCUGAGAGGAAGGUCCCCCCACACUGGAACUGAGACACGGUCCAGACUCCUACGGGAGGCAGCAGUGAGGAAUAUUGGACAAUGGAUGGAAAUCUGAUCCAGCCAUGCCGCGUGCAGGGAAAGACGGCCCUAUGGGUUGUAAACUGCUUUUGUAUGGGAGCAAUAAGGGCUACGCGUAGUCCGAUGAGAGUACCAUACGAAUAAGCACCGGCUAACUCCGUGCCAGCAGCGGC